AGCUUAGUUGCCAUCAUUAAGUUGGGCACUCUAAGUUGACUGCCGGUGACAAACCGGAGGAAGGUGGGGAUGACGUCAAAUCAUCAUGCCCCUUAUGAUUUGGGCUACACACGUGCUACAAUGGACAAUACAAAGGGCAGCGAAACCGCGAGGUCAAGCAAAUCCCAUAAAGUUGUUCUCAGUUCGGAUUGUAGUCUGCAACUCGACUACAUGAAGCUGGAAUCGCUAGUAAUCGUAGAUCAGCAUGCUACGGUGAAUACGUUCCCGGGUCUUGUACACACCGCCCGUCACACCACGAGAGUUUGUAACACCCGAAGC
rnacentral:rRNA from 1 species